UACAGAGGGGGCAAGCGUUGUUCGGAAUUACUGGGCGUAAAGGGCGCGUAGGCGGCCUGUUAAGUCGAACGUGAAAUCCCCGGGCUCAACCCGGGAACUGCGCUUGUAACUGAGAGGCUUGAGUGUGCCAGAGGGGGGUGGAAUUCCACGUGUAGCAGUGAAAUGCGUAGAGAUGUGGAGGAACACCGAUGGCGAAGGCAGCCCCCUGGACCAAUACUGACGCUGAGGAGCGAAAGCCAGGGGAGCAAACGGG
rnacentral:rRNA from 1 species